rnacentral:rRNA from 1 species
AUUGAGCGCUGGCGGAAUGCUUUACACAUGCAAGUCGAACGGCAGCACGGGGGCAACCUGGUGGCGAGUGGCGAACGGGUGAGUAAUACAUCGGAACGUGCCCAAUCGUGGGGGAUAACGUAGCGAAAGCUACGCUAAUACCGCAUACGAUCUACGGAUGAAAGCGGGGGAUCGCAAGACCUCGCGCGAAUGGAGCGGCCGAUGGCAGAUUAGGUAGUUGGUGGGGUAAAGGCUCACCAAGCCUGCGAUCUGUAGCUGGUCUGAGAGGACGACCAGCCACACUGGAACUGAGACACGGUCCAGACUCCUACGGGAGGCAGCAGUGGGGAAUUUUGGACAAUGGGCGCAAGCCUGAUCCAGCCAUUCCGCGUGCAGGAUGAAGGCCCUCGGGUUGUAAACUGCUUUUGUACGGAACGAAAAAGGCUUUCUCUAAUACAGGGAGCUCAUGACGGUACCGUAAGAAUAAGCACCGGCUAACUACGUGCCAGCAGCCG